rnacentral:lncRNA from 1 species
GGACGGUUAUCAGAAGGACCGUCCCUGAACAGUGCACGCCCAGGAUUUGACCCAAAAAAAUUGUACGGUCCAAAUCACUUCUUGUACCUCGUUUUUAACAACAUGUGUGGGGUCCACAAAAAUUUGUUCUAAAAUUACACGUUGUGCAAACAAAGUUACGCGGUGUGCAAGGUGCACGAAACCGCUACCGCGGUCCUGUCUAACCGUAUUAGCCAUUUAUGUGUGUCUAUGUGUGAGAGAGAGAUUUGUAGAUUAGAUGGUAGUC